rnacentral:rRNA from 1 species
UUGGUGGCGAGUGGCGGACGGGUGAGUAACGCGUAGGAAUCUACCCAAUAGCAGGGGAUAGCCCGGGGAAACUCGGAUUAAUACCGCAUACGCCCCACGGGGGAAAGGCCGGGAUCUUCGGACCGGUCACUAUUGGAGGAGCCUGCGUAAGAUUAGCUUGUUGGUGAGGUAAAAGCUCACCAAGGCGACGAUCCAUAGCUGGUUUGAGAGGAUGAUCAGCCACACUGGGACUGAGACACGGCCCAGACUCC